CCAGAUGCAAGUAUAGCUGGGGGCAGCUGGAGAUAUUCACCAUCUAUGUGGAAAAGAACUUGCAUUAGUAUUAGCCUCAUGCUUUGCCUGCCACUAACUUUAGUGACAUGUGAUGGUGACAGUGAUGUACAUCCUGACUGAUACACAUGUACACAUAUGAAGAUCAAGAUAAAAAGACUGAAAGAGUUUAUUACUCAUGAGGCCUGACUUACAAGAAUUGCGAAGUUGAAGUGAAAGAAUACUAGACAGCAACACCAAAACAUAUGAAAAUAUAAAGCUCUUUGAUGGAGAUAAAUAUAUGGACAAAUACGGAAUCCUGUAAUUUGUAAUGGUGAUGCAUAAAUAAAUUUAAAUUCAGGUAUAAAAUUUAAAAUAUAAAAGCACAAAAAAUACAAAUAUAAAAAUAUGUUGAUACAAG
rnacentral:lncRNA from 10 species